rnacentral:rRNA from 1 species
GACGGAGGGUGCAAGCGUUAAUCGGAAUUAUUGGGCGUAAAGGGCGCGUAGGCGGUUUUGUAAGUAGGCUGUGAAAUCUCUGGGCUUAACCCAGAAACUGCAGUCUAGACUACAUGGCUAGAGAUCAGUAGAGGGAGGUGGAAUUCCUGGUGUAGCAGUGAAAUGCGUAGAGAUCAGGAAGAACACCAGUGGCGAAGGCGGCCUCCUGGGCCGACACUGACACUGAGAGACGAAAGCUAGGGGAGCGAAUGGG